AAGGGAGACCUAAUUCAGGUAUGGGACGAAAAAAAAGUAGUCGCUACCAAGAAUCAAUCCCAAAAGGUCGGAGCGAGGUAUGAGGCUUUCAAACUAGGUUCUGGGUUCAAACAAGACCUGAAUCAGGAACAAGGGCUAUUAGCUCAGGUGGUUAGAGCGCACCCCUGAUAAGGGUGAGGUCCCUGGUUCGAGUCCAGGAUGGCCCACCUGCACAGGUGGCAAAAACAAGAGAAGCGAGGAAUCAGCACCUUAUCUUAUCUAUAUAUAUAUAGGAGAGAAUGCUGGCUCUGAGUAAAGAGUCCAGAGGAACCUUGAAAACUGCAUAGAGCUAGGUGAAAAAGCCAAAAAAGAAGACCGCAAGGUCAAGCUAAUAAGGGCUAACGGUGGAUACCUAGGCAC
rnacentral:tRNA from 1 species